rnacentral:rRNA from 1 species
AACGAACGCUGGCGGCAUGCCUAACACAUGCAAGUCGAACGAUUGCCUUCGGGUGAUAGUGGCGCACGGGUGCGUAACGCGUGGGAAUCUGCCCUUAGGUUCGGAAUAACAGCUGGAAACGGCUGCUAAUACCGGAUGAUAUCGCGAGAUCAAAGAUUUAUCGCCUGAGGAUGAGCCCGCGUUGGAUUAGGUAGUGGGUGGGGUAAAGGCCUACCAAGCCGACGAUCCAUAGCUGGUCUGAGCGGAUGAUAAGCCACACUGGGACUGAGACACGGCCCAGACUCGUACGGGAGGCAGCAGUGGGGAAUAUUGGACAAUGGGCGCAAGCCUGAUCCAGCAAUGCGGCGUGAGUGAUGAAGGCCCUAGGGUUGUAAAGCUCUUUUACCCGGGAAGAUAAUGACUGUACCGGGAGAAUAAGCCCCGGCUAACUCCGUG